rnacentral:lncRNA from 1 species
ACCACCAAUGACUGUGUUUCGGAUGGCACGUUAAACUGUAGGUCCCGGCUGUCAUUGAACAUCCUUGGCAGUCGUUACGGGUAGUCAGAAGCCAGUAAGUCUGACACCAGUCUAACCAAGGGGUAUCGGGUUGCCCGGGUAACUGGGUUGAGGAGGUCAGAUAGGCAGUCGCUUCUUGUAAA